rnacentral:rRNA from 1 species
AUUGAACGCUGGCGGCAUGCUUUACACAUGCAAGUCGAACGGUAACAGGGAGCUUGCUCCGCUGACGAGUGGCGAACGGGUGAGUAAUGCAUCGGAACGUACCCAGUCGUGGGGGAUAACGUAGCGAAAGUUACGCUAAUACCGCAUACGUCCUGAGGGAGAAAGCGGGGGACCGUAAGGCCUCGCGCGAUUGGAGCGGCCGAUGUCGGAUUAGCUAGUUGGUAGGGUAAAGGCCUACCAAGGCGACGAUCCGUAGCGGGUCUGAGAGGAUGAUCCGCCACACUGGGACUGAGACACGGCCCAGACUCCUACGGGAGGCAGCAGUGGGGAAUUUUGGACAAUGGGCGAAAGCCUGAUCCAGCCAUGCCGCGUGAAGUGAAGAAGGCCUCGGUUGUAAAGACUCUUUCAGCCGGAAAGAAAUACGCGCAGGAUAAUAACUCUGCGUGGAUGACGGUACCGGAAGAAGGAAGACACCGGCUAACUAACGUGCCAGCAG